rnacentral:rRNA from 1 species
UUUAAUUUGAGAGUUUGAUCCUGGCUCAGGAUGAACGCUGGCGGCGUGCUUAACACAUGCAAGUCGAACGAAGCACUUACGACAGAACUUUUCGGAGGGAAGAUGUUUGUGACUGAGUGGCGGACGGGUGAGUAACGCGUGGGUAACCUGCCUUGCAGAGGGGGACAACAGUUGGAAACGACUGCUAAUACCGCAUAAUAGAUCAAGACCGCAUGAUCAUGAUCUUAAAGAUUUAUCGCUGCAAGAUGGACCCGCGUCUGAUUAGCUAGUUGGUGGGGUAACGGCCUACCAAGGCAACGAUCAGUAGCCGGCUUGAGAGAGUGAACGGCCACAUUGGGACUGAGACACGGCCCAGACUCCUACGGGAGGCAGCAGUGGGGAAUAUUGCACAAUGGGGGAAACCCUGAUGCAGCGACGCCGCGUGAGUGAAGAAGUAUUUCGGUAUGUAAAGCUCUAUCAGCAGGGAAGAUAAUGACGGUACCUGACUAAGAAGC